rnacentral:lncRNA from 1 species
UUAAUAUAUUUUGUACAAGUAAUGUGAAUCCUUUUCUUUCUUUUUGGCAAUCUAAAUUUCCUUCUCACCAUGGCCGAUUUUCCAUUUUGCAUUAUAAUCAAAUAUCAAUAGUUGCAUCAGUCAUGCUAGCAAUUGAAAAAAAUGAUGCCGGAAUCUGCAGUCAGAUGAAGAAAACUACUAUGUUUUGCAGUGUAAAAUAUGUUUAUGAUUUUAUAUCAUAUCUUCAUCAUAUCCUUUUAUUGCCAUUUGUUCCAUCAUGCCUUCAAAACACUGAUAUGGAUGUACAUAGACAGCUUUUUGGAACUAUGUAGUUACAAUUAUUCAGCAUCAUUGGGCAUAGGCUGCUUUGUAGUACCAUUGAGUUUAUUUUACUGGGCAUUGCUUUUGUACAACUGCCAGAGAAAAGUGCACUCUUUUCUCAAUUUUGUCCUUAGCAGUGGAUAAUCAAAUAAUUUCAUGCAAUUACUUGUUCGCACAUCUCUAUUUUUGGUACACUUUCUUCUCUUUUUGAAACCUAUAUCUACCAGUGCUGCCUA